GUCCCUGGAGCAGUGGGAGCUGCCGCUGGCCCCAGGCACUGUCCUGUGAGGAGCUGCUGAAGGACGCUGAGACUGAGGGGGCUGAGGAGGCGCUGAUGCUGAAGGGACCUUGCAAACCUUGAGCUGUCCUGAAGAGCUUGAGGACAGGCAGACACUGAGAGGAGCCAGCAGGGAGAAGCUGAAGGCCUGGAGCAAGAGCAGUGAGCAGGGAUGUGCUGGGGCCACGCGAGAGCCUGGAUGUCCCAUCUGCUGUCCCUGUCCAGGAGAGCUGCUCUGCAUGGCAGGAAAACACUGAGGGAGAGGCUUUGAAGAUGGAGCGGCUGGGAUCCCUCUGAUUAUAUUAUAUGUAUAUAUAUAUUGUAUGAAAUAUAUAAUAUUUAAUCUGUAUUUCCAUCUGUAGAUUGUUAUAUAUGUAUAUAUAGAGAUA